CUGCUUUCUCAAAUGGAAGGCCUUUGUGGGGUUAUUUGAACAGUCAAAUGGCUAUGCCACAAAAUCAGACAUAUGACCAUCUAUGAAAAUUCCAACUAUAGAAACUGAAAUAGCAUGGUCUGCUAUAUGCCAUUUGUAGCUUCAGAGAAUAGGGGCAAAGGUAUACAAUGGGGGUAUCGUUGUACUCAGCAGAUGUAGCUGAACACAAUAUGAGGGAUAGCACACUAGGUUUAUGAAAUACACACAACAAAAACCUUGUUAAAUGUGUAUAUGCCAAAAUAGAGAGCACACAAUUUUACUCUAAUAUUUAGCAGAGAUUGGCGGUGAAAUGGCUACACAAAAGGUGUCAAACUAACGUUAGGUAAAUAGCCUGUGAUGUCUACUUUAUAUAAAUAUAUACUUUUGUGUGGCAAUUAUGUUUCCUGUAAUGGGUAUUAAACUUCCAAGAC